rnacentral:rRNA from 1 species
UGAUGCAGCGACGCCGCGUGAGGGAUGACGGCCUUCGGGUUGUAAACCUCUUUCAGUAGGGAAGAAGCGAAAGUGACGGUACCUGCAGAAGAAGCGCCGGCUAACUACGUGCCAGCAGCCGCGGUAAUACGUAGGGCGCAAGCGUUAUCCGGAAUUAUUGGGCGUAAAGAGCUCGUAGGCGGUUUGUCGCGUCUGCUGUGAAAGACCGGGGCUCAACUCCGGUUCUGCAGUGGGUACGGGCAGACUAGAGUGCAGUAGGGGAGACUGGAAUUCCUGGUGUAGCGGUGAAAUGCGCAGAUAUCAGGAGGAACACCGAUGGCGAAGGCAGGUCUCUGGGCUGUAACUGACGCUGAGGAGCGAAAGCAUGGGGAGCGAACAGGAUUAGAUACCCUGGUAGUCCAUGCCGUAAACGUUGGGCACUAGGUGUGGGGGACAUUCCACGUUUUCCGCGCCGUAGCUAACGCAUUAAGUGCCCCGCCUGGGGAGUACGGCCGCAAGGCUAAAACUCAAAGGAAUUGACGGGGGCCCGCACAAGCGGCGGAGCAUGCGGAUUAAUUCGAUGCAACGCGAAGAACCUUACCAAGGCUUGACAUGAACCGGAAAGACCUGGAAACAGGUGCCCCGCUUGCGGUCGGUUUACAGGUGGUGCAUGGUUGUCGUCAGCUCGUGUCGUGAGAUGUUGGGUUAAGUCCCGCAACGAGCGCAACCCUCGUUCUAUGUUGCCAGCGCGUUAUGGCGGGGACUCAUAGGAGACUGCCGGGGUCAACUCGGAGGAAGGUGGGGACGACGUCAAAUCAUCAUGCCCCUUAUGUCUUGGGCUUCACGCAUGCUACAAUGGCCGGUACAAAGGGUUGCGAUACUGUGAGGUGGAGCUAAUCCCAAAAAGCCGGUCUCAGUUCGGAUUGGGGUCUGCAACUCGACCCCAUGAAGUCGGAGUCGCUAGUAAUCGCAGAUCAGCAACGCUGCGGUGAAUACGUUCCCGGGCCUUGUACACACCGCCCGUCAAGUCACGAAAGUUGGUAACACCCGAAGCCGGUGGCCUAACCCUUGUGGGGGGAGCCGUCGAAGGUGGGACCGG